rnacentral:rRNA from 1 species
GACAGAGGUGCCAAGCGUUAGGCGGAAUCACUGGGCUUAAAGCGUGUGUAGGCGGGUGCCUAAGUACCUUGUGAAAUCCCACGGCUCAACCGUGGAACUGCUGGGUAUACUGGGUGCCUUGGGUCAUCUAGGGGCUGCCGGAACAAAUGGUGGAGCGGUGAAAUGCGUAGAUAUCGGAAGGAACACCUGUGGCGAAAGCGGCUCACUGGACCAUCACUGACGCUGAUGCACGAAAGCUAGGGGAGCAAACAGG